GGUCGCGUGGCUCAAUAGGUAGAGCAUCGCUCUAAUAAGGCGAGGGUUGUGAGUUCAAGUCUCACCGUGACCA